AUUGAACGCUGGCGGCAUGCCUUACACAUGCAAGUCGAACGGUAACGGGCCUUCGGGUGCCGACGAGUGGCAAACGGGUGAGUAAUACAUCGGAACGUGCCCGAUCGUGGGGGAUAACGAGGCGAAAGCUUUGCUAAUACCGCAUACGAUCUACGGAUGAAAGCAGGGGACCGCAAGGCCUUGCGCGGACGGAGCGGCCGAUGGCAGAUUAGGUAGUUGGUGGGAUAAAAGCUUACCAAGCCGACGAUCUGUAGCUGGUCUGAGAGGAUGAUCAGCCACACUGGGACUGAGACACGGCCCAGACUCCUACGGGAGGCGGCAGUGGGGAAUUUUGGACAAAGGGCGCAAGCCUGAUCCAGCCAUGCCGCGUGCAGGAUGAAGGCCUUCGGGUUGUAAACUGCUUUUGUACGGAACGAAAAGCCUUCUUUUAAUACAGGAGGGUCAUGACGGUACCGUAAGAAUAAGCACCGGCUAACUACGUG
rnacentral:rRNA from 1 species